rnacentral:lncRNA from 1 species
GGGGCGCUGUGGGGCGAUGUGGGGCGCUAUGGGGCUGCCAUGACAAACCCCGCUACCUGAUGGGCAUGGGGUGAGGCGAUGUGGGGCAAUGUGGGGCAAUGACGGGCACUAUGGGGCAGUGUGGGGCGAUGUGGGGCGGUGUGGGGUGCUAUGGGGCUGCCGCACCACAAACCGCGCUACCUCAUGGGCGUGGGGUGAGGCGAUGUGGGGCAAUGUGGGGUGCUAUGGGGCGAUGUGGGGCGCUAUGGGGCAAUGUGGGGCGCUAUGGGGCAGUGUGGGGCGCUAUGGGGCUGCCGCACGACAAACCCCGCUACCUCAUGGGCAUGGGGUGAGGUGCUAUGGGGCGCUGUGGGGCGCUGUGGGGCGCUGUGGGGCAAUGAGGGGCAGUGUGGGGCGCUAUGGGGCAGUGUGGGGCGCUAUGGGGCAGUGUGGGGUGCUAUGGGGCAGUGUGGGGCUAUGUGGGGCGCUAUGGGGCUGCCAUGACAAACCCCGCUACCUGAUGGGCAUGGGGUGAGGCCCUAUGGGGCGGUGUGGGGCGCUAUGGGGCAGUGUGGGGCGCUAUGGGGCAGUGUGGGGUGAUGUGGGGCGCUAUGGGGCGGUGUGGGACAGUGUGGGGUGCUAUGGGGCUGCCAAGGGGCAAACCCCGCUACCUCAUGGGCAUGGGCCACAGCCGCGCGUUCCUGCACGCGCUGCUGCGCUCCGACCCCGCGGCGCUGCACCACAUCACCGUGCACAACAUCGCGUACCAGGUGCGGGGCUCUAUGGGGCGCGGAUCUAUGGGGCGCGGCUCUAUGGGGUGCAAAUCUAUGGGGCACAGAUCUAUGGGGUGUGGAUCUAUGGGGCGCAAAUCUAUGGGGCUUAUGUCUAUGGGGUACAGCUCUAUGGGUGCUCGGAUCUAUGGGGCUCAGCUCUGUGGGUGCUCGGAUCUAUGGGAGUGUGGAUCUGUGGGGUGCUGCUCUAUGGGGCACAGAUCUGUGGGGCGCAGAUCUAUGGGGUGUAGAUCUAUAGGGGCCUGGAUCUAUGGGAGUGUGGAUCUAUGGGGCUCAGCUCUAUGGGGGCGCAGAUCUAUGGGGUGCUGCUCUAUGGGAUGAGGAUCUAUGGGGACAAAGAUCUAUGGGGCACAAAUCUAUGGGGCUCAGAUCUAUGGGGACAAAGAUCUAUGGGGGCGCAGAUCUAUGGGGCUCAGAUCUAUGGGGUGCUGCUCUAUGGGAUGAGGAUUUAUGGGGACAAAGAUCUAUGGGGCACAGCUCUAUGGGGUGUGGAUCUAUGGGGCUGGAUCUAUAGGAGCCCGGAUUUAUGGGGCACAGCUCUAUGGGGCUUAGCUCUAUAGGGGCCCGGAUCUAUGGGGCCCAGCUCUAUGGGGCUUAGCUCUAUAGGGGCCCAGAUCUAUGGGGCACAGCUCUAUGGGGCUUAGCUCUAUAGGGGCCUGGAUCUAUGGGGCCCAGCUCUAUAGGGGCCUGGAUCUAUGGGGCACAGCUCUAUGGGGCGCAGAUCUAUAGGAGCCCGGAUCUAUGGGGCACAGCUCUAUGGGCCGCAGAUCUAUAGGGGCCUGGAUCUAUGGGGCACAGCUCUAUGGGCCGCAGAUCUAUAGGGGCUGGAUCUAUGGGGCUUAGCUCUCUAGGGGCCCGGAUCUAUGGGGCCCAGCUCUAUGGGGCGCAGAGCUCUAUGGGGCUUAGCUCUAUAGGGGCCCGGAUCUAUGGGGCCCAGCUCUAUGGGGCUUAGCUCUAUAGGGGCCCGGAUCUAUGGGGCUUAGCUCUAUAGGGGCCCAGAUCUAUGGGGCACAGCUCUAUAGGAGCCCGGAUCUAUGGGGCCCGGAUCUAUGGGGCGCAGAUCUAU